rnacentral:rRNA from 1 species
CCAAUAGCGUAUAUUAAAGUUGUUGUGGUUAAAUAGCUCGUAGUUGAACCUUGGGCCUGGCUGGCCGGUCCGCCUCACCGCGUGUACUGGUCCGGCCGGGCCUUUCCCUCUGUGGAACCCCAUGCCCUUCACUGGGUGUGGCGGGGAAACAGGACUUUUACUUUGAAAAAAUUAGAGUGCUCCAGGCAGGCCUAUGCUCGAAUACAUUAGCAUGGAAUAAUAGAAUAGGACGUGUGGUUCUAUUUUGUUGGUUUCUAGGACCGCCGUAAUGAUUAAUAGGGACAGUCGGGGGCAUCAGUAUUCAAUUGUCAGAGGUGAAAUUCUUGGAUUUAUUGAAGACUAACUACUGCGAAAGCAUUUGCCAAGGAUGUUUUCAUUAAUCAGGAACGAAAGUUAGGGGAUCGAAGACGAUCAGAUACCGUCGUAGUCUUAACCAUAAACUAUGCCGACUAGGGAUCGGACGAUGUUAUUAUUUGACUCGUUCGGCACCUUACG